rnacentral:misc_RNA from 1 species
UUAUUUUCUUAUGUUUGAUUCAGACACAAAUAACUGAUUGUAGCAUAAAAGCGACGCCGAAGCGUCGAAGCACGCAUUGCUUCCACUGGUUUGCAAGGUUGAAGGCUCAGAGAGCCAUUCAUUAAUGAUCCCUCCGCAGGUUCACCUACGGAGA